UUGGAGGGCAAGUCUGGUGCCAGCAGCCGCGGUAAUUCCAGCUCCAAUAGCGUAUAUUAAAGUUGUUGCAGUUAAAAAGCUCGUAGUUGAAUCUCGGGGUUAGUAGAUUGGUCAUGCCUCAGGUAUGUACUGAUCUCACUGAUUCCUCCUUUCUGAUGAACCGUAAUGCCAUUAAUUUGGUGUUGCGGGGAAUCUGGACUGUUACUUUGAAAAAAUUAGAGUGUUUAAAGCAGGCUAACGCUUGAAUACAUUAGCAUGGAAUAAUGAAAUAGGACGUUCGAUCCUAUUUUGUUGGUUUCUAGGAUUGACGUAAUGAUUAAUAGGGAUAGUUGGGGGCAUUACUAUUCAAUUGUCAGAGGUGAAAUUCUUGGAUUUAUUGAAGACUAACUACUGCGAAAACAUUUGCCAAGGAUGUUUUCACUAAUCCCGAACCUAAAGUUAGGGAUCGAACACCAUCAGAUACCGUCGUAGUCUUAACCAUAAACUAUGCCGACUAGGGAUCGGAUGAUGUUAAUUUUUUAAUGACUCAUUCGGCGCCUUACGGGAAAC
rnacentral:rRNA from 1 species